rnacentral:lncRNA from 1 species
GCAGAUUGAGGCAGCUUCAUCUCAUUCCUGGUUCAUCCUGAUUCCCUCAGUGGCUUGCUCCUGCAUUAGUAAUGUAAAACUGGCCCAAAGUGUUUAAAAUGGUCAGAAGUUGAUCUUGAUCAGUUCAAAUAUUUUUUGACAAAGAAAAUCAGUUCUGGUCAGUUCAAAUCUAUUUUGACCAGUUUAAACCAAUUCUGCAGAACUUGAGCCUGAGGUCGGUAGGAAGAUGGCUGAAGACUAUGCUGAUUCAAGCCAAAGCAAGGAAUCAGAGAAAGGUAAGAUUCAUUAAGACUUGGGUGAAAAGAGUUAACAUGGGAAGAAUCCUGGAAGACUUCAAGAAGUGGAAUUCAAACUGAAUCCUGAAGAAUAGGAUGGGCUGCAAAGGAGAUUCUUCCAGGAUUUCAGAAGUUGGAAGGGAGGCAGAAUCCAUUUGGUAACAUAAACACAUUAUUGCUUAUCUGCUGACUCAACUUGGGAUGAAGCAGCAGCUGAGCCAGUUGUGUGUGUACAGCUCAAGGACAAAGGUCCUUAGCUUCUGCAGAAUACUAUCAUC